ACGGAAGGCAGCAGUGGGGAAUAUUGCACAAUGGGCGCAAGCCUGAUGCAGCGACGCCGCGUGAGCGAAGAAGUAUUUCGGUAUGUAAAGCUCUAUCAGCAGGGAAGAAAAUGACGGUACCUGACUAAGAAGCCCCGGCUAACUACGUGCCAGCAGCCGCGGUAAUACGUAGGGGGCAAGCGUUAUCCGGAUUUACUGGGUGUAAAGGGAGCGUAGAUGGCGAAGCAAGUCUGAAGUGAAAGCCCGGGGCUUAACCCCGGGACUGCUUUGGAAACUGUUUUGCUAGAGUGCAGGAGAGGUAAGCGGAAUUCCUAGUGUAGCGGUGAAAUGCGUAGAUAUUAGGAGGAACACCAGUGGCGAAGGCGGCUUACUGGACUGUAACUGACAUUGAGGCUCGAAAGCGUGGGGAGCAAACAGGAUUAGAUACCCUGGUA
rnacentral:rRNA from 1 species